GGCAGCUGGGCAAGCCUUCCUAUCUCACCGUGCCCCACCAAGAACCUCCAGAGAGGUUUGAAUUUUCUCGGAGAAGGACAGGCCGGCCACGAGGAAAACAGAAACAAGCCGCAGCAACAUCUAAGCCCUUGAAAGGAUCCUGAGAGAGGGGGGAAAGGGAAAACAGCAGCCACCAGCCCAACCACUUGUGUCUUCUGCCCCUUCCCACCUAUCUUGCCCACCCCACCAGCCCACGCUGCUUGGGACUUGAAAUCUGUGGCCGAAGGACCGUCACUACAUAACUUCAAAAAUAAUCAACCACCCUCCCUUCCCAAACCACCCAAAUUCACUCAUCCAGCGUUUACUUUUUUGAAUCCACUCAGAACUUUUUUCUGCGACCCCCCUCCCUAAAUGGAGUUGGGUGGGGGGGGAAAUGAAUACUGAGUUGGCCUUUAUUUUUUUUAAAGACUUUUUGAUCCAAUGAGGCCCCCUA
rnacentral:sRNA from 1 species